rnacentral:lncRNA from 1 species
UUCCUCUUAAAUAAAAAUACAAUGAAGGAAGACAAAACUCACAAAUAUCAUCACCCCUAAGCACUUCCUAUUUUAUCAAUCUUUAUCCAUUAACCAUAUCAACUAUGAUCUUUGUGGACCAUAAUCACGUUAAUGGCAUAAAAUACAGUUUUGAUUCCUCAGUAUUUUUUUAGGAUAAAAAAAUUGCAUUUACAAGCUAUUUUCUCAUAGUGAAUUAAAUUAGGUUAUAAUUAUAUACCUUCAUGUGCUACUUUUAGAGAUAAAAGGUCCAAACUAUAUACAUUUACUCAAAAUUUUCAUUUCUAUGACUUUUAUAUCAAUUUGAAAGACAUACCAAACUUUUUUGUUUCAAAAGAAAAACACAAACAGUUUUUGGAUAAAUGUUCAUAAUUUUAGAAGAAGAAAAACAACAUUUUUAAACAAAAUUUGUAAGGGUUCUGCAGAACCUAGUAUCUCGCCUACUUUUGCUGUUAAUGGCAGGCUCAACAAAAAUGAGGAAAAAAUUCAACAAAAAUAUUCCUUUUACAUAUUUUAUUUUGAUUGAAAGAAGCUUCUGUCCAAGUUUGGUAAAAAUCCAGAAUAGUUUAUGCAUCUCAUAAAUGUUUAAAAAACUUCAACUGCAGACUGUAUGUGAUGUUAACUGAAGAAAAACUUAUUUCAUUUAUACGUAAAAUACAGAUAAACAGGUACAAAAUUUUAACAAAAUUUCCUUCUAGAUACUAGCUUUUGAUCAUAAACAUGCUUCUGUCCAAGUUUAGAACAAAUCCAGGAUAGUUUCAAAAAGUAAUUAAAAUUUCAAAAACUUUUAACUACAGAGUGAAUAUUUGUGGACGCCGCCUAAGCCAAGCGAAUGUAGGAUCGCUAUUUCAAUGCUCUUAAACUUUGUACUUGUUUGGCUUUAUAACUAUUUUGAUAUGAGCGUCACUGAUGAGUCAUAUGGAGACGAAACGCGCGUCUAGCGUAUUAAAUUGUAAUCCUGUUACAUUUGAUUAACUAUUGAAGUCAAAUUUGAAGCCUGUGGUGCAAUAUAUGAUUUAUAAGUUGACAAAUCAUUAUCAUUAUUUGAAGUGAAACUGUAUCUCAGAAUAAUAGUGCUCAAAAAUAAAUACUGCUAUUCAUACUUCAUAGAUUAAAACAAAAAAGACAAUGAAAGAAUAUCUCAUCAAUUGGCACUUGUUUACCUUAAAAGGUUAAUUUCUGUAAUACAUCUGGAGAAAUAAACUAAACUCAAAGGCAUUGAAAAUCUUUAUGCAUCAAUUUUUACAUUUAGCAGGAAAUUAUAUAAUUUCAAGGGGAAUGCAUUCAUAACAUUGUGUACAGGUAAUUCAUAUUUAAGAUAUUUAUAUAUAUAACGAGAUAUUCUCCUUUAAUAAAAACAUUUUAUUGACCUCCAGAAUUUACCACUAUCAAACUUUCUUUCAGACCAAGCAAGUUACUAUUACUGCCUUAAAAACUUUCACUACAAACUUUUUUAUUCAAUAUACUAGUAAUAUUAAUUAUCUAAAAAAAUUCUCAAUGAACAAAAAUUAAUUAAUUAAUUUUUUCCUCAAUUUUUACAUUUUGACAUUUUCCUGGUGUCUGCCAACUGCCCUAUCUACUAAUAACAUUAUCCGUUAUAUAUCUUGUACAUGUUUAACUAUAUCACUGCAAAACAGCUAUCAUAAUUGUAAUUAGGCUGAAAUGUGAGAAAGACCAAUGAGGGUGGUAAAGGGUUAUUUUGUGCAACGUGUUCAGCCUUUUUAUUUCAUAUUUUUUCAUGUUUUGACAUUUUAUUUCUUGUUUUCUUGUGCUUGGUUCUACGUGCUUGCCUCCUGUUCUCCUUUCUUUAUUUCUGUGUUUCGUGUCGGUACUCUUAAUUUCUUGUGCUUGUUCUGCAUUUGAUUAACCAGGACUAAAUUUAAAGUCAGUCUGGAGAUUGUUUUAAAUUAUGUGUUAUCAGAAUAUUUAAAAUUGCUAUUAAAUUAAUUAAAAUGAAAAAAAAUAUUUAUCUUUCAAAUCAGUUGCAACUAGCAGACGCUUAAAGGUGACUGCAGGGUCAUCAUAUCCAUUAUAUAAUGACUAGAUGAUCUCCAAGAAGGGCUGAUUAAUAGAUUAAUUUACUUUUUACAUUAAAAUUUCCAUUUUAUUUCUCAUGCUUCGUUUUUUCUGAUUUUUAUUUUCCAUGCAAUGUUUUUGCGAUUUUUAUUUCACGUGUUUCCAUGUUUAGGGCCCCCCUUUACCACCCUCACCAAUAGGGACAUAUCAUAUUUUGAAAUUCUCAUUUCCAUUUUGACAUUUCUUACUUCCAUUAUAACAUUUUUCAUUUACUAUAUUAACAUAAAGAUAAAUAGGUAACAAUAUAAUUUAAAUGCUUAGUUACAUAUCAAUGCCCUCAAUGUUGCAACACUAGAGUGUGGAUAGCAGUGUUCCCAUUGAUGAGCCAGGGCUGAAGACUGUACUUUGACCAAUAAUGGUUUACUUUUACAAAUAGUGACUUGGAUGGAGAGUUGUCUCAUUGGUACUUAUACCACAUCUUUUUAUAUCUAUUGAGGUAAACGAUUCAAAGCAAACUAUAUAAAAAUUGUUCCAAGGUACCGUGUAAAAAGCCAUCAUUACUUUUACUCUGAACUUGCUUUUAGUGACUAUAAACAUUGUUUGGUAGAAUUCAAUUUCAAAUUGUUUU